rnacentral:tRNA from 1 species
GCCCGGAUGGCGGAACGGUAUACGCGAUGGUCUCAAACACCAUUGCCCGAAAGGGCUUGCGGGUUCGAAUCCCGCUCCGGGCA